UUUCUGUUACUAUAAUUUACAGAAUGUAUGGUGUAUGGUAAUGAAACACGGAUAGUAAAUGUCAAGGACUGUAUGGUGUAUUUAUAAAUGAAUAUAAAAGACCAAUACCAAAUAGCUAACAAGCACCAACCCACAGAUGAAAACAAAUCAAGAGCAUGUCCAUUAAGUAGUAAUGUCAAAGACAGUGGAACUACUAGAGGAAUGCAUUGCACAGAACAUUCAAAGCUAGGGUAAAGCUGUCCAUCCUCUAUCUUGGGUUUCAUAGUCUUGCAAGCUGCAUGGUAACCAUACUAGUGACUGUGUCAUGAAAAAAGUAUCCAGUACACAUGAAUUAUAUAAUCAAUUUCCUAGCUUACAGCUGUUUCUGCAUCGUGAAAAAGUAUCCAGUACACAUUGUAAAAUAGUUGGCAUUAGGGAGGACAUCUGGCCAUAGAAACCAUGCCAAAGUAAACACUGGAGCCCAAUGCAGUUCUUGAACUAUUGGAUCCUGUCAAGCUAGUACAAUAAUAAAUAUUAAAUGAUAAUGAUGAUGAUGAUGAUGAUGAGAUGUUGAUGACAAUGAUGAUGAUAUUGCAUUUCAUUUUUCCUGCCAAGGUAAACUUCCAUCCUUUCAGGAUCAGUAAAGUACCAGUGAAGUAUUGGGGUUUAUAGUAUUGACUAACUCCUUACCUCAAAAUUGCUGGCCUGGUGCCUAAAUUGGAAACAAUUAUUACUCGUAUUAUUUGCUUAGUCUAUGAGCAUUUCUGGCUUGUGGAAUCAUGUCAGACAUUAUUUGGCAAGUGUAGAAGAUUGCAUCUCUGCUUUCCUUUCGCUAGGAUGGGCAAUGCUCUUUCCUUGUUGAUGGCUGUGGCAAUAAAGAUUGUUUGGUGGACAAGAUAGAAUAAAGUGAAUACAGACACUUAUAUUCUCUAGCCAAAUUCUCAUCUUUAGGUUACACCUUGAGAGCAAAGAUGAGAAUAGAGUGUCAUGUGAUCCCUGCUGAAAGGUAGGUAAGAACAAUUUACAUGAAUGAAUCUAUUCUCAGCAUGUCCUUGUAGUCUGGCAAACACAGUUGAGAGAGGACAUUUGCUUUCAAUAAUCACUUACUCCUAGGUCUGUGAGGUUCUGUGAUCGUAUCUAGACAGCUGUUCUCAUAUUGGGACAUCAUGAAAUGGUUUUGUAAUUUGUUCUUCAUUCAUUACUCUUACAACAAAUGUAUUAUGAUUAGGUGUUUGUGUGGUUGAACAGUAUGCUGCUAAAUCACUUGAUUUCAAGUUCAACUCCACUACAUGGCACAUUAGGAAAAUGUUUUCUACUACAAACUUUAUUUGAUAAUUCAUCAUUUUUCUCCUUAAGUCUUUUAUUUUGGUGAAUUGUUGUUUCUAUCAACUGGCCACUGUUUGAAAUAAUAAUUGAUAGAAAAAUUUACACAGUAAUUCUGUGACCUGAUCACUGACAGUGGAAUUGUGUGAAAGACCAAGGUACAGAAAUACUGGGACUAUCAUGAAGAAUAUAAAUAAAUGAGAAAUAAAUA